AACGAACGCUGGCGGCAGGCUUAACACAUGCAAGUCGAACGGGUGUAGCAAUACAUCAGUGGCAGACGGGUGAGUAACACGUGGGAACCUUCCUAGGGGUACGGAACAACUCAGGGAAACUUGAGCUAAUACCGUAUACGUCCGUGAGGAGAAAGAUUUAUCGCCCUUAGACGGGCCCGCGUCGGAUUAGGUAGUUGGUGGGGUAACGGCCUACCAAGCCUACGAUCCGUAGCUGAUCUGAGAGGAUGAUCAGCCACACUGGGACUGAGACACGGCCCAGACUCCUACGGGAGGCAGCAGUGGGGAAUCUUGGACAAUGGGCGCAAGCCUGAUCCAGCCAUGCCGCGUGAGUGAAGAAGGCCUUAGGGUUGUAAAGCUCUUUUACCAGGGACGAUAAUGACGGUACCUGGAGAAUAAGCCCCGGCAAACUUCGUGCCAGCCGCCGCCGUAACAC
rnacentral:rRNA from 1 species